CCGAGUGCAAACUCACCAACCCAUGUGAACAUACCUUCUGUUGCUUCGGCGGGAUCGCCCCGGGCGCCUUCUGCGUGCCCCGGACCAGGCACCCGCCGGGGGAUACAAACUCUUGAUUUUAGUGGAUUAUCUGAGUCGCCUUAGGGCAAACAAAUGAAUCAAAACUUUCAACAAUGGAUCUCUUGGUUCUGGCAUCGAUGAAGAACGCAGCGAAAUGCGAUAAGUAAUAUGAAUUGCAGAGUUAAGUGAAUCAUCGAAUCUUUGAACGCACAUUGCGCCCGCCAGUAUUCUGGCGGGCAUGCCUGUCUGAGCGUCAUUUCACCACUCGUCACCGGCUUUUGCUGGAGGCGGCGUUGGGGAUCGGCCUCCCGCACCGGGUCGCCGUCCCCUAAAUGAAGUGGCGGUUGCGCUGUGACCUCCUCCGCGUAGUAACUGCUCUCGCGGGCGGAUAGCAGUGCGGCCACGCCGUAAAACCCCCAACUAUACCAUGGUUGACCACAGAUCAGGUAGGAAUACCCGCUGAACUUAAGCAUAUCAAUAAGCGGAGGAAUCGAUGCCUUGGUCAUUUAGAGGAAGUAAAAGUCGUAACAAGGUCUCCGUUGGUGAACCAGCGGAGGGAUCAUUACAGAGUUGCAAAACUCCCACAAACCAUCGCGAAUCUUACCCGUACGGUUGCCUCGGCGCUGGCGGUCCGGAAGGCCCUCGGGCCCCCGGAUCCUCGGGUCUCCCGCUCGCGGGAGGCUGCCCGCCGGAGUGCCGAAACUAAACUCUUGAUAUCUUAUGUCUCUCUGAGUACACUUUUAAAUAAGUCA
rnacentral:misc_RNA from 1 species